GGGCCUGAGAACCUUCCUAAUUCCCACUAAUAAAAGGCAACACGAAGACAUAAUUUUUCAUUUUUCAACGUCCAUAUGUAUCUAUUUCCAAAGUUUUCCAGCACGAGAAUAACAAAAAAUUAAAGGAUCCAAUAUCUUCUCUUUCGAAACAAAAGUUUCGCCUAAAUAAUAAUUCAAAAUAAUUUUUUAAAAAUUGAGUUAAAAUUUUGGCAUAUUAAUUACAGUUGCACUACAAGCCUAAGACAUAGACAUCAAA
rnacentral:misc_RNA from 1 species